UGGUGGAGUGAUUUGUCUGGUUAAUUCCGAUAACGAACGAGACCUUAACCUGCUAACUAGGCCGCUUCUGCAUAAGGGGUGUGCCUUCUUAGAGGGACUAUGUGUGUAAGCACAUGGAAGUUUGAGGCAAUAACA
rnacentral:rRNA from 1 species